rnacentral:rRNA from 1 species
AUUGAACGCUGGCGGCAGGCCUAACACAUGCAAGUCGAGCGGAUGAAGGGAGCUUGCUCCUGGAUUCAGCGGCGGACGGGUGAGUAAUGCCUAGGAAUCUGCCUGGUAGUGGGGGAUAACGUUCGGAAACGGGCGCUAAUACCGCAUACGUCCUGAGGGAGAAAGUGGGGGAUAUUUGGAUCUCACGCUAUCAGAUGAGCCUAGGUCGGAUUAGCUAGUUGGUGGGGUAAAGGCCUACCAAGGCGACGAUCCGUAACUGGUCUGAGAGGAUGAUCAGUCACACUGGAACUGAGACACGGUCCAGACUCCUACGGGAGGCAGCAGUGGGGAAUAUUGGACAAUGGGCGAAAGCCUGAUCCAGCCAUGCCGCGUGUGUGAAGAAGGUCUUCGGAUUGUAAAGCACUUUAAGUUGGGAGGAAGGGCAGUAAGUUAAUACCUUGCUGUUUUGACGUUACCAACAGAAUAAGCACCGGCUAACUUCGUG